rnacentral:rRNA from 1 species
GGGGAAUAUUGCACAAUGGGCGCAAGCCUGAUGCAGCGACGCCGCGUGGGGGAUGACGGCCUUCGGGUUGUAAACUCCUUUCAACCAUGACGAAGCUUUCGGGUGACGGUAGUGGUAGAAGAAGCACCGGCUAACUACGUGCCAGCAGCCGCGGUAAUACGUAGGGUGCGAGCGUUGUCCGGAAUUACUGGGCGUAAAGAGCUCGUAGGUGGUUUGUCGCGUCGUCUGUGAAAUUCCGGGGCUUAACUCCGGGCGUGCAGGCGAUACGGGCAUAACUUGAGUGCUGUAGGGGAGACUGGAAUUCCUGGUGUAGCGGUGAAAUGCGCAGAUAUCAGGAGGAACACCGAUGGCGAAGGCAGGUCUCUGGGCAGUAACUGACGCUGAGGAGCGAAAGCAUGGGUAGCGAACA